CUCAAAUCUCAGGUGGUGCACCCUGGAAUCAGGCUCCCUCCUCUCUAGUUCUGGGUGCAUCACCCGAGAACUGCA
rfam:Myotis davidii contig209424, whole genome shotgun sequence.